rnacentral:siRNA from 1 species
AUCCGUCCAAACACCAAAAUCUCC